CUUGCCUCACAGAUGUGUACACCUCUGACACCCCAAGUACAGAACCAGUGGUUUGUUUGGUCACUGAAGUACCUGGAGGGCAGAAGAGGAGGAUGAUAUCACCAUUGGUAGUGUUCACCAACUGAGAAGCGGGUCCAUUCCUGAUGUAUGGCACCUCCAGCAGUUACUCUGUGAAAGAAAUGACCAGAUCUCUCUACCUUCAUCUGUGCUGCAGCUCUUGAUACUACAGAACAUAAACACCAGGUUGUUCAUUCAGAACACAAGCUCAGAACAUCUUCAGCCUGAAUGAUGCAAGUCUUCCAGUUUCCACAAGCAACCUAACCAUUGGUGGGCAUGCAGGAAGAAGCUACACAAACUAUCUGCCUUCUACAGCUGAAAAACAGUCUCCACCAGGCAGAGAUCCUUGUGUUCUUAGACUCCUCUUCAGAUGGAAGGAUGAGAAUAGCUGCCUUCACACUUGACAGAAGCGUAAGAUAACUCGACUCUGAAAGAAAGGCA
rnacentral:lncRNA from 1 species